AAUAGGUCCUCUUUAAUGAACGGAAGAGGUGCCGACAUAUUAGGCCAAAAGGUUCAAUAGAGACAAAAAAACAUUAAGCGGAGGACAAGGAGCAGAAAACCAUUCACACCAGGGACAGGCUCCUAAACAGCCAAGGUCACAAGGUCAGAGUGGAAUACAAUAAAUACAGGCAAGAUUAGUAACUUGAAAUUAGUAAAUUAGAAAAAGCUUGAAUGUGGUGUGAGAAUCUGAACAGAUAAUGGUGAUGAGGAACAGUUACAGGCUUCCUGAAGGGGGACACGGUCAAACUGAAGACUCCUCAGAUUGUCUAUAAGUAUUUCGAAUGUGACAAUUAUAGAACUGGAAUGUUUGCGGGCACCAACCGACACAAUUAUAACUUCACUGUCAGUGAUGUGGCUGAGGUAACAGGUUCUACAGAGCCCGAUACUGUGACCGUUAACUUUCCUGAGUACCCUGGUUGGGAGGGGAGUUCUUCUGAGCUGGAGCUGGUAUUCGCGAUAAAUAAAGAUCCAUGAUCACUUACUUAUUUACUUCCCCUAACGUUUAUUUUGGACCAACCAAAACCAUCCUGUCCCUCUAUGCAAAUGCUCUGCUGAUGUUCUAUGCAAAUACCUUUGGCCUUUAUUUUAUGUAACAUUAUGAACAGCUGCAAAGAUCACAUCUUGAAAUCAUUCAUGAAUCGAUUUCUUCACUCUUCUUUCUGCCUUUGUUAGCGUGUAACAAUCUCCAUAUUAUGAUCAACUAAUAGUGUAUGUCACUUUUGCAGUUUCACAGUAGAAUGGAAUUUAUUAACACAAUUUAUUAACAAUGCAGCCUAUAUGUCAAUGCGGCAAUGCCUUUGUUUCUUGUUCAUUAAGUUUAAUCCAAAGAAGAAUUACGACCUGUUAAUCAGUUAAAGACUUAAGAUGUUCUUUGAAUUCAUUUUGUUGUCAUGUAAGGGUAGGUGCAAAGUAAUGCACAUUAUACUGUAUAUCACGGUUUUAUCAGUGCCGAUGUUGGAGUAUAUUUCACCUUGAGGCUUUAUGAAUAAACAAAUGAAUGUAUUAAUUAA